CUUUAACAACUAGAAGGCCAACAAAUGAUGGACUUUCAACUCUCACUUUUUUCCCUACGAAAGGGUUCAGGAACUCCCAUGUCAUCGGGUGAACUGUCAAUACACAGUACUGAGUCUUUGUCAACCCAGAAGAUCACUCCCGAUCAGCGAUGACAUGCAUGUGCUAUGGGAUCCAGAAUCGGGAGCCAUGAUUGCCUGUAAAACCUGAAAGUUCCCGUUCUUUAAAUAUCAGUCUCAAAAAAUAAAACAAAAUUCUGAG
ensembl:lncRNA